rnacentral:rRNA from 1 species
UACGGAGGGUGCAAGCGUUGUUCGGAAUCACUGGGCGUAAAGGGCGUGUAGGCGGUCCGCUAAGUCUGAUGUGAAAGCCCGGGGCUCACCCCCGGAAGGGCAUUGGAAACUGGCGGACUCGAGUCUCGGAGAGGAAGGUGGAAUUCCUGGUGUAGCGGUGAAAUGCGUAGAUAUCAGGAGGAAUACCGGUGGCGAAGGCGGCCUUCUGGACGAUGACUGACGCUGAGACGCGAAAGCGUGGGGAGCAAACGGG